GGCGCGGCCCCGGUAACACACGGGCACGGGCCCGGUAACUCAGGGGCGCGGCCCCGGUAACCCACGGGCACGGGCCCGGUAACCCACGGGCACGGCCCCGGUAACCCACGGGCAGCCCGCACCCCUGAAGGGCAGGGCCGGCUGACACACGGAGCCCGGGGUUCCCCCGCCGGGCCCCUCGGCCUGAGGGGAAGGCAGAGCCGGGGCCGAGGGCCCGGCCUGGAAAACCCUUGGAAAGGCCGGGAGCGAAGGGCACGGGCAGCGCGAGCUGGUGGAGGACAGUACUAGUGCUGCACUUCUGCUAUCAAUAGAGGAAAAAAAACCCACUUACUAUCCAGGGGAAAAUGUUCUUUAGCUGCUUAAUCUGGUUGGAUUGACAGAUCUAAGUAUGCAGGAGAACAAGGACAUCCCUUAAGCUCCUGAUUCCAUGUCUGCUAAUGAACACCUAUACCUUGGUUUUCAGCUAGAAUAUUCUAACUCAGUAAGAUACUAGAUGCCCGUCAGAAGACACAUAUAUACUAUAAACUUCUCGAGUUGUGGGUUUUUUUUAAAUGUUAUACAAUGUCCUUAUCAUCUGAUAUAUCUCCUUGUUAUUUCCAUACCACAUCACUAAGUCACAGAACUUUACUGUUUGUUCAGAUGACUCAUCUUUCCAAUGUGAUUCAUCAAAUUACGCAGCUAUGAAACCUUAUGAGAUUUCAACUGGUGUCUCGUGAAGCUGUACACCUCCACUUCAUUUUAUUAUGAUUCCCUACUUCUGCCUCCUUCAUAGGCUACUUCCAGCUCGGUAGUGAAAUUCCAGUACAGGAAAAAGCUACAAUUUUCAAAAGGAUGACAUCAGUAAUUAAGCCUUCAAACCAAGGACUGAAAUUUGUACCUCCACCUUCACUGUUAUUUCAGUGGGCAUUGUGAAUACAACAUUCUCUAACUUCAAAUGGGUUUGCAU